UCCACUAUUGAGUGCAUAGACCCUGGACCC
rnacentral:piRNA from 1 species